rnacentral:tRNA from 1 species
GCCGACGUAGCUCAGGGGUAGAGCAGCGCUUUCGUAAAGCGCGGGUCGGGGGUUCGAAUCCCUUCGUCGGCU